rnacentral:rRNA from 1 species
AGCGAACGCUGGCGGCAGGCCUAACACAUGCAAGUCGAACGAACCUUUCGGGGUUAGUGGCGGACGGGUGAGUAACACGUGGGAACGUGCCUUUAGGUUCGGAAUAACUCAGGGAAACUUGUGCUAAUACCGAAUGUGCCCUUCGGGGGAAAGAUUUAUCGCCUUUAGAGCGGCCCGCGUCUGAUUAGCUAGUUGGUUGAGGUAAUGGCUCACCAAGGCGACGAUCAGUAGCUGGUCUGAGAGGAUGAUCAGCCACAUUGGGACUGAGACACGGCCCAAACUCCUACGGGAGGCAGCAGUGGGGAAUCGUGCGCAAUGGGAGAAAGCCUGACGCAGCCAUGCCGCGUGAAUGAUGAAGGUCUUAGGAUUGUAAAAUUCUUUCAACGGGGACGAUAAUGACGGUACCCGGAGAAGAAGCCCCGGCUAACUUCGUG